rnacentral:lncRNA from 1 species
UAUCCAUCUCCACCUUGUUCACUGGCUGAGUCUGAUGAGGGAGGCAAGCCGGCGAUGUUUCCCGGAGAGCCAGCAGAGUUUGAGGGGGAUGCCAUCUCCGGAGACUAGCCAAGCUUCUCCCUCUCCUUCCUCCUCCAACUCAUUUCUCAGCUAGAAACAAGGAGGAGUUAUAUUUUAGCUCGCAUUGGUACUGGCAUUCACAAUUAUCAUGUGGUAGACGGAAG